AUGUGGGCAAGGACGUGGAGAAAUUGGACCCCUUAUGCAUUGCUGGUGGGAAUGUGAAAUGGUACAGCUGCUGUGGCAAAUAAUUCAGCACCUCCAC